GUUUCAUCUAGAAUUCUCAUGUGAAACUUUAGGACUUCUAAGAGUUCGGAUAAUUUGAGUUCAGGGCGGGAAGUACCACAGCUGAUUAAAGAGAGGACCUUGGGCACAUCAACUCUCAAAUAUCUUGAUUACAGAAAUUGGAGGCUCCCAUUCCAUGUUCAUGAAUACUGUGAAAAUGUGACAUCCUGCAUUGCCAAGGUAGCUGUCUGAAUUAUAUGAAUACAAGGAGAUACAGGGUUUAAUGAUCAGCGGCAAUGUCAAGGACUGGAAUCAUGACAGGAACAAGUACUGCUUCCUAAAACACAGUGUAAAUGAUUUAUAGUUGAAAAUGGCAAUCACUUCAAUUUAUAUUGAUGAAAAUAGAAUUCUUUUAGAAAGUGUCUAUUUAAAAAAAAAUAUGCCUCUUUCAGUGAUGAUAGCUACAUGACUACCCCAUAUUACCAGUUGAAAAUUAACAUUAAAAUACCUUUCACCUACAUAAUCUUUGGAAUGGAUGUGGAAAAUAUUCAGAUUACCAAAGGUUGUAAACACUUCAAUCGUAAUGCUUUUUUUUAACUUGGCUAGUUUCUUAUACUUAAAAAAAUAAAAAUAACUAAAAAUACACUUAAAACUGUCUAUAUUUUAUAAACAUUAAUUAGGUAAAUAGGGGAGGCAUAAGAAUAGUGGAAGGCUUUGUACAGAAAGAUUCAGUGCUCUUAGUAAAUGUCAGUAAGGUAUAAUGAGAGGAGAGCAGUGUUACAAUUGAGAGCAGCUAGAUUCAAAUCUUCAUCACCAUACACUAGCUGUGUGGAAUUACGCAAAUCAUUGUAUCCCUUUGAAUUUUACUGUCCUACUCAAAAAGUUGAGAUGACAAAUAGAACUAUUGGUUAAAAGUUUCUAGAAGUUUUCAUGUCAUUGUAAAUGUAAUAUGCUACGUAGAUUAUUUUAAAGCACUGCGAAACUGUUCAACAUUUUCAUUAACAAUAUUAGCUAAAAUGUAAUUAAUUUAUCAAGGAAUAAAUAAAAUAUGUUAAACCCAGUGUGAAGUCCACAGUAGGUCUUCGAUAAUGGUGAUAAAUGAAAGUUGUAUUGAAUAUGUUAUUUAUUGUCUUUAUUUUUCAUUAAAAAAUCUGCUAAAUGUUGAAUGAUGAGUACUUCAAUUCAUGUAAACAAAGUUAACUGGUCAAAUAAACAUUAAAAAUAUUAAGUGAUAUUGAUGCUAGUAAUAUUUGUUCAAUGUUGUAGUGGUAAUGUAUAAGUCGUAGUAAUAAUAAAAAUUUAUAUUAAUGCCUUCUUAUGAGAACUCAAUUCAACAUUUAGAAAGAGUCAAUCAAAAAAUAACCUGGGAUUUUAUCUAUCAUGGUUUAUCAGAUAUUGUUUGUUUUAUACAGGAAUAUAUAUGUGUGUAUAUAUAUAUAAAAUUCUGGGAAAGAGAAGAAUCUUGAUUUUGUUCUCUUUGAUUUCCCCUGCUGCAAAGAUAAUGUGAGUUUAGGGUACUGUGUAUAUAUUUUAUUAUAAAUUACAGAGUCAUAAGCUAUGUAUAAAAUUUUUGAGAAAGGAAAAAGUGAUUAAUGCAUAGCAUAAAAUGUACAUAUACAAUUAUUUUAUAUGUAAUUUAUAGUUACAUAUAAUUGCUAAUACAUAUACAGUUGAAGCCAUUUCAUAGUCUAGCUCUGUUGUUAGUAGAAAAGUGAUAGGUGAUCAUGGCUACAAAUAUGUCCAUAAUUUUCACAAAUAAUAAAGGGGGAAAUUGAGAAUUUUUAUUGCAAUCUCAUGAUGAAACAUUGGGACUAAACGAAGACAGAAGGAAAGAUAUAAACUAUGCAGAGAAGUGCUUUUGGGCAUAAAAAGGUACUAUGCAGAGAAGUACUUUUAUGCAUAAAGUGCUUUUAUGCACUGUGUCAUCAGUUCUUAAAACAGGGCCUUGUACGUAGGUGCUUACUGAGUGGUUCUUUAAUGAAUAACCAAUGCAAGAUCCAGUGCGGCCAUUAAGAGUGAAUAACAGUUUCACUUACAUACAUUAUCUCAUUUAAGUCUCUCAAAAUCUUGUCACAUAAGCAAGUGUGAUUUUAUAAUUUAAAAGGAGAAGGUGUGAGGAAUAAUAUUAUGUAGAUUUGAUCUGUUUUUUGUACUGUAAUGUUAAUUAUUCCACAAGUAUCAAAUGGCACUUACCACUCAUAAAUGAUGUAUUUGUAAUUUUUGUUACUCCUAGGGAUUAAGACUAACUACAUAGAUUCUUCUUUAAUGUUUGCUAAAUUUAAGUUGUUGUGUAUUCAUACUUUGAGACGUGAAACAAAUAUAACCCACCCCAGAGAGCCUCAUUUUCUGAUUUGUUUUUCUCUUCUGGGUUUAUAUCUAUAUUAGCCCUUUUUAUAUUGUGGUGCAAUCAAAUAUUCAAAUAUCUUCAGCCCUAAUUUGAGUCAGAGCAACAUGAGAUGGCAGGAAAAAAAGAAUCUGUUAAACAAUUGUUGAUUCUACCCAAAAAAGCAUAAAUGUUUCUCUUAUUAAAAAUAAAAUAAAUUAAAAUUGAUUAAUUUUUAAAAAUAUUUUUAAAAAAUGUUUUAAUUUGUUAAGAGUAAAUGAAUAUAUUUAUUGGCAUUUUAUGUCUAAGAAGUUUGUUUUUGGUUAUCUAGCAUGUAAGUGUGGUAUCUUCUAAUAUUUUAUAUCUUCUGUUUUAUUUGUGGCUUUGUAGAUUUCAUUAAUCUGAAUUAAAUUGAUCAUUUGAGCAAGUGCUUCACCAGUGACUUCUUUCACACUUCUAGAAGGGUUGUAAUUAGAAUAACCUUUCAUAGCAUUUUUAGUCUAGUAACUUCAAGCCUCAUAAUAUAUUCACUCCACAUAAAAACACUUAUCAAUAGAGUCCACAGGAUGAUUUAACAUGCCACACACACCUCUUGUUCUUCACAUUGAUAUGUAUGUAAUACAGUCAGACCCACCUCUUCAUUACUUCCAAAGAGCCAACUUUGUCCGGUCUAAAAAAUAAUAGCUCUUUCUGAUAUUUUUUUUCAAGGGAAAACCUAUUCUUGGGACUUUUUUUUCCACUUUUCUUUGUUUUUCUUUGAAUUUUCUCUUCUGUCACAUUUUCAAAAUGCCAUUAUUCAUGAUUUAUCGCUGUCUUUAAGUGUCUUUAUAGGAAUUAAAUAUCUUUUUACUUUUAUAGUUUCAAGUCUUUUGUUGAACUUAUUCAACUAGCACUAAAUAUUUUUAUUCAUUUUAAAGAAAAUUAUUUCAGAGAAUUAUCUACAUUAAUAGUCUAAAUGGUUUUAUCAUGGUGAAAUAUAUAUAUAUAAAACAUAAAAUUUGUCAUUUUAAUCAUUUUAAAAUAUUCAGCUCAGUGGCAUUUUAUAUUCAUAUUGCUGUGCAACCAUCAUCACUAUCUAUUCUAAAACUUUUUUAUCACUUCCAACAGAAACUCUGCACCCAUUAAGUAAUAACUUCUGUUUCCCUCUCCCCCAGCCCCUGGGAACUUCUCUCUGAAUUUUCUUAUUGUAAAUAUUUCAAGUAAAUGGAAUGUUACAUCAUUUAUUCUUAUGUGUCUCAUUUCUUUUAGUUAGUAUAAUUUAUCCAAGGUUGAGCCAUAUUGUAGCAUAUAUCAGAACUUUUUUGGGAUUGAAUCAUAUUACUUUAUGUCUAUUUAACACAUUUAGUGUAUCCAUUCAUCUGUUGAUGGAUAUUGGUUGUCUCCAAUUAUUUCUGUUUUAUUUUUAUUUUAAGUUCUGGGGUACGUGUGCAGGAUGUGCAGAUUUGUUACAUAGGUAAACAUGUGCCAUAGUGGUUUGCUGGACCUAUCAACCCAUGGCCUAUGUAUUAAGCCCAGCAUGCAUUACCUAUUUUUUCUAAUGAUCUCUCUACCCCCACUCCCUGCCACCAACACUCUGAAUCUUUUUGAAUGCUUUACAUAAAGCUUUUGUUUCCAAUACCUCAAGGAAAUUAAUGUUAUCAAGGUCCUCAGUGAUCUUCAUAUAUUUCAAUUGAAUGGUUGAUUAUCAAUCCAAGUAUUGUUUGAUAUAUAAAUGGCAUUUUACAGGACUGAGUACAUGUACCUACAUGAAAUGUCUUCACUAGAUUACCAGAAACUGCUGAAGAGAUUUAGAAGGUAGGAUGGCCCUUUUGCAGAUUCUGUGUAGAAACUGAGACCCUCCCCCUUGAAAAUACCAGAGAGGAUUUCCACAGAAGCUGUAAUCAACUAUUUAUAUUGUUUUAUUGUUCUGGGUUAGAUGACAUGCCAUUCUUGAUUCAAAUACAGAAAGGGAAGAUAUAAUCAUUCUAAUUUUCUCCAACUAUUCUCUGGAGCCGAGAUUAGACUCAGUAGCUGCUGAAUAAGAUGCACAGACUUGUGAAAAUGGUGAAUAUUCAAAGACCUUUCUGUUUGAAAAGAGAAAGGGAUUCUGUUUGGAAGGAGAAAAACAAGAAUGAUACUGGAUUGGCAGUUAACAAUAUCCACUGUAUGCCUGAAAGCAUAUCCGUAGAAUAUUUUUUUAAAAAUAUCAUUUCUACCUCAAGUACUAGUAUUGGACUCUAAGAAAUGUACUUAUGUGCUUAUUUAAACAUUAAACCAGCAUAAAAUUAGAAUAGUUUCUAAAUUUUCUCCAUGAAGGUUCAUAUUGAAUAGAAAAAGCUAUUGUUUUCUUCUUUUCCAUUACAGAGCAUGACCCUUUAAAUGUUUGAACUUUUUCCUUGAAAUGCACUUUAAAACAGAAGUGAUAUGCAUUUAGCUUCAUGAUGGUUUUAGGUGAGAUUUAAUAGCUAGCCAUACAAAUAAACCCUGCAGGUGGUAAGCGACGGUCCAUGCAUGAAACAAGCAUCCCAGCUUCCAAAAGGCUAUCAAUUAAAUGAAAGUGACUAUUGAACUGAUCUUCUGCUACCAAAAUGCUAAUUAAAAUUUCAUUACUCUUCAUCAGCCACUCAUACUGUAGCUCUGGGAUAAUGGUGAUGCAGCGUCUCAGUAUAUUAUAAUCUUAGUGAUAUAUUUUUAUAUCAUCACCAUAAGAAACAUUGUGUUACUCCAGAAUAUUUGAGAUUUCUCACUGCCUGAGGCAUGUAUUUAUUUCAUAUCUUUUUAUUUUAGUUUAUUCUGUUCAAUCCUCUACUUAAUCCAUCUACCUGUACCUGAUGCGUGGGUCUCUGAUACUAGGCCACAGACAAAUACUCACCCAGGAUUGACCUUGAAAAUAAAACAUGAUGUUUGUGUCAUAAUCAUAGUUCACAUCUGACUUCAUACUUAGUACAGCUAAUUUUACUCCUUUUUCCUUGUGAAAAUGCCAGAUCCUGAUGAGUUUUAAAUUUAAAAAAUCCUCUUUCCUAUGUAAUUAUAAAUUAUUUCGUUGUUUAAACCUUAUAGUAUCAUGAAUUUAGUACUUUUUUUUCUGGAAAUAUUUGGCAUAUGAACCUCUCUCACUUAUGAGCAGCAUAUUUGUUAAUUGAGAUUAUUGUAGAUUCACACGUGGUAGAAGGAACGAUACAGAGAGAUCCCUUGUAUACUUCAUCCAGUUUCCCCUAAUGGUGACAUUUUGCGUAACCAUAGCAUAAUAGCAUAACCAGGAUAUUAAUAUCAAUAAAAUCCAUUGAUCUAAUUCAGACUUACCCAGUUUUACUUACACACAUAUAUGUGUGUAUUAAAUCUGAUACAAUUUUAAGAUGAGUAGGUGUGUUUAUCCACAAAUAGGAGUAAAACUGCUAAACACUAACAACGUCAGGAUCCUUUCUAUUCUUUGAUAACCAUACACACCUCCCACCAUUUCUCCCACUCAUUUUAAAUGUUGCCACUAAACUUAUCCUCUAUUUCUAAAAUUUCAUCAUGAAUAGAACAAUACAGAAUAUAAACUUUGGGGUUAGUAUUUUUUUACUUUGUGUGAUUCUCUGGAGACUUGCCUAAGUUGAUAUGUACAUAAAUGAUCUAUUCCUUUUAAUUGUUAAGUAGUAUUCCAUGGUGCAUAUGUACUGCCAUUUGUUUGACCAUUCACCUACUGAAGUACAUCUUGAUUGAGCAAAGGUUUUGGCUAUUAUGAAUACAUCUGCUAUAAAUAUUUGUUGAAUAGGCUUUUGUGAACAGAGCUUUCUCCCCACUCUUGGAGAAAUUCACAAGAGUACAAUUUGCUAGGUUGAAUAAUAGUUGUAUACCUUUUUUAUUACCAAGCUCCAAGCUGUUUUCUAUAGCGGCUGUAUCAUUUUACAUUUUCACAGGAAAUAUAUGAGUGAUUUAGUUUUUCUACAGAAAUGGCAAUAUUUGCUGCUGUCACUUUUUUGUUAAUUUUUGCCAUUGUAAUAGAUUUGUAGUAUUAGGUAAUAAUAUAUCACUGUGGUUUUAAUUUGCAAUUUUCUGGUGAUGAAUGAUGUUGAUAUGAUGCUUGUUUUCCAUCUGCAUAUCCUAUUCACUGAAAUGUCUCUUUAUGUCUUUUGCCCAUAUUCUAAUUGGUUUUUCGAGUUCAUUUUUACAAGACCUUUUGCAAUCUGUAUAGUUUUGUUUUGUUGAGGUUAGAGAGGUCUUUUUUAUGUUCUAAAUACUAGUCCUUCCUCAGAUAUAUAAUUCUAAAUGUUUUCUCCAAAUACGUACCUUGGUCUGUUUAUCCUUUGCACACCGGUUUUCACUAAGAGAAAGUUUAUAGUUUAUAAUUUUUUUAUUUUAUGUAUUGUGCUUUUGAUGUCAAGUCUGAGAAAUUGUAGCUUUCCUGUAGAUCCUGAAGAUUUGUUUUCUUUUAGUUUAAACAUGUUUUUUAGCUAUAUAUUUACAUUUAAGGAUAUAAUUUAUUUUGACUUAAUUUUUGUAUGUUAUAUGAAAUGUAGGCUGAGAUUAAUUUUCUUUUGUUUUUUUUUUCCUUUUGGUCUAUGCAUAUACAAUUGCCGCAGGACCAUUUCCUGAAAAGAACAUUUUUCAGUUUAGUUCUUGCAUCUUGCUCAAAAGUGUGUUAGGUAUAUUUUAUGGGUCUGUUUCCAGGCCCUCUACCUGGUUCCAUUGGCUUAUGUGUCAGUACCACAUAAUAUUAAUUAAUGUAUGUAGAUAAUAAGUCUUGAAAUCAGAUACAAUAAUUCAUUCCUUUUUAUUUUUCCUUUUUGAAAUUGUUUUAGCUAGUUUAGUUCCCUGGGCAUUGCAUGUAAAUUUUACAGUGAUAAUUCUAUAUUUAUACAAAAGUGGGCUAUUUUGGAUAAGAAUUACAUUGAACCUGUGCAUUGAUUUAGAAAAAAUUAGCAUCAUUACUAUACUGUUUCUUCCAAUCCAUGAACACAAUGUCUUUCCACUUAUUUAGGAUUUUUAAUUUAUUUCAUCAUUGUUGUAUAUUUUUCAGCAUAAAAGUCUUGCACAGUUUUGUUAGAUUUAUAGUUAAAUAAUUCAUUUUUGAGUGUUGUGAAUGGCAUUGUGUUUUUAAUUUCAGUGUUCAUGGGCACAUUCUGGUAUCUAGAAUGAAAAAUUGAUUGUGUUAUGCUUAUCUUGUAUCUUGUGACCUUGUUGGCAUCAUUUAUAUUAGCUCUGUUUUUUGAUAGAUCCUUUAGGAUUUUCAACACAGACAAUCAUGUUAUCAGCAAAUAGAAAAAAAUUUUACUUUUUCCUUUCUUGUCUGUAUACCUUUUGUUUCCUUUCUUUUCAUUAUUGUGCUAGUUGAGGACUUCCAGACCUAUGUUGAGAAGAGAAGUAAGAGUAGUCAUCUUUACCUUGUGUGCUAAGCUGUUCUUAUGUUGCUACAAAGAAAUACUCGAGAAUGAGUAAUUUAUAAAGAAAAGAGGUUUAAUUGGCUCACGGUUCUUCAGGCUGUACAGGAAACACGGCACUGGCAUCUGCUCAGCUUUGGGGGUCUCUCAGGGAGAUUUUACUCCCUGAGAAGCGGGAGGAGGUAUGUCACAUGGCCAAAGCAGAAUCACAUGGCCAUGGUCAUGUGGCCAAAGAGAGAGUGGAAGGAGGUGCCACAAACUUUAAAACAACCAGAUCUCAUGAGAACUCACCUACUAACCUGAGGACAGCACCAAGACAUCAGGGAUCUGCUCCCAUGACCCCGAUACCUCUCACCAGGCCCCACCUCCAACACUGGGGAUUACAUUUCAACAUGAGAUUUGGCAGGGACAUAUAUCCAAACUAUAGCACCUUAUUCCUGAUUUUAGGAAGGAUUUUAGGAUGUUUUUCAUCAUCAAGUAUAAUCUUAGCUGUAGGGUUUUUACCUGUUCUUUAAAAUUUGGAGAAGGUCUUCCUCUAUUCCUAAUUUUCUAAGAGUUUUUUAUUAUAUGUAUUUAUUUUUUGCUGAAUUAAUUUUAUGCAUCAAUUGAUAUGAUCAUCUGAUUUUUCUUCUUUAGCCUGUUGAUAUUGUUCAUUGCAAUGACUGAUUUUGUAAUGUUGAACCAUCCUUGUAUUGCUGGAAUAAACACACUUGGUCAUGUGUGUAGUUAUUUUUAUAUAUUAUUGAGUUUUAUUUCAUAAUAUUUUGUUAAUGAUUUUUAUAUCUAUAUUUGCGAGGAAUACUAAUCAAUUAUUUUCUUUUUUGUACACUGGCUUGGGUAUUGGUGUAAUACUUCAUAAGAAUAGUUAGGAAAUUUUCAAUUCAUUUCUAUUUUCUGGUAAAGCUUGUAUAAAUUUAGUAAUAAUUACUUCUUAAAUGUUUAUUACUAUUCUCCGGUGAAACUAUUUCAGCCAGGAAUUUUAUUUUUCAGGACCUUUUAAUUAAUAAUUGAUUUGAUUGAAAUAGAGCUAUUUUAGAUUGUUAAUUUUAUCUUGGUAAUUUUUGAUAGUUUGUGUUUUCAAAAAAUUAGUCCUUUUACGUUGAUGAAACUAUAAGCAUGAAGUUGUUCGUAUUAUUCUCUUUAUCUUUUUAAAAGCUACAGAAUCAAGAGCGUUAUUUCUUACUUUAAUUUUGACAUGAGCAAUAGCUGUCUUUUUGUUACUUUUGUUUAGUAUUUUUGGAGUUUUAUUAAUUUUAUUGAUAAACAUAUUUGAAAGAUAUUUGGUUAUAUUAAUUUUCUUUAUUGCUUUUCUGUUUUCAAUUUUAUUGAUUUCUGCUUUGAUUUUUUAUUAUUUUUUUCUUUUUGUUUUGAGCUUAUUUUGCUCUUCUGUUUCUACUUUUGUUAAUAGAAAUGUAGAUUAUCAACUUGAGACCUCUCAUUUUUAAUGUAAGCCUGCACUGCUAUCAGUUUUUCUCUAAUCGCUUCUUUAGUUCUAUCUGACAUAAUAUUUUGUAUCUUUUAAAUCAUUCACAUCUAUGUAUUUGUUUUUAAAUUAUUUGAGACUUCCUUUUUGACCCAUGGAUCAUUUAAAAAUACGUUAUUUCCCACAUGUUCUCAGAUUCCUAUUGUUUUGUUAUUUAUUUCUAGUUUGGUAUCACAAAAAAUACAUAACACAAUUUAAACUAUUUUUUUAAGUUUGUUGAGGCUUGAUUAAUGUCUACUUAUGUCUAUGAUCUAUCUUGAUGAGUAUUCCAUGAAGGUCUGAAAAAAAUUGUGUGUUCUGCUGUAAUUGAGCGGAGUGUUUUUAUGUGGCAGUUAGAUCUUCUUAGCUGAAUGUGCAUAUAUUCUAGAUAUUGCAGGUCAUUGCUGAUUUUCUAAUAAUUCUAUCAUUAUUAUCAGUGUUGGAGUCUGCAAUUACAGUAGUGAAUCUCUGCUUUCAACUCUUUAUCAGUUUUUGUUUCAUGUUAUUUUGCAAAUACGCUCUCGUGGUCGGUACAUAUUUAGAAUUUUUAUGUCUAGUUGAUUGAUUCUUUUAUCAUCAUUAGUAUAAAAGACACAAGGAUCAAAAACAUCUAAAUGAAACGUGGUUCGGACAAGAAGGCAUAGACCCAUUUCUUCUUGCUGUCUCUCACGAGACACAACCUUAAGCAUUAGAAGUAGUGAAAAGACAAAUAUAGAGGAGAACCCUGAAGGUAGUAAAAAUAAGAGAGCUUUCUUUGUACUAUCCUUGAGUGUUUCACUACGUAUUAAAUUUCCACAAUGCAUCACUAGAGCCUAUAUUGUAUCUGUGGACACUCUUUAAAUGUGGACAUUUAAGCAAAAGUCGAAAGAAUAAAUCUAGAAAUAAAAAUGAAUGUGAAAUUUGAUGAGAAGGAUUGGCUCCUGCUGCAAAUAAAUUUCUGUUCAUUAUACAUUACAGUCAGUGGUAUUCUAUUAUAGCAGCAUGAAAUGGUCUAAUACAUCUGAUCAAGAAUGGAGAAUCUCAGUCCUAUGAGGACAAAGAGGCUUCCAUGACCUACUAAGUUGCCUGGUAUUGUUCAGUCUCUCCUGCAGGCUCUUUGUCUUGUAGCCUAAGUAUCUCUUGGUAGAAAAAAGAAGUCUCAGGACAGGUGGGUGAGGAGAUGCACUCUCAUGUCUUAAGUUCAGCUGGUGCUAUGCUGGGGGCUACUGUUUGAUCUGGAGAAACAAUGGGCCUAUCUGGGCUGCCUUCUGCUACUAUGUCAUGGGGGAAAGAAGUACUGGAUAUGGAUGGCCUUCCUCUCAGGUGGGAGGACACAAGGCAUCUUGAUGUUGUGUUGUUGCUCAAAUCCUGGGUCCCCACACCAGCUCUUCUAUUUUUACCACCUGCAGAGUUCUCCUUUAUUUGCUUUUUGUACCAUUUGCAGUGCUUAAGGUUGUGCCUAGUGAGAGGGAGCAGGAAGAAAUGGGUCUAUGCCUUCUUAUUUGAGCUACAGCUUACUUAGAUGUUUUUGAUCCUUGUUUCUCCAAUAUUAAUGAUUAAUUUUUAAAACUUUACCCUAAAUUAAUCUGUAUUACCUUUUUUCCAUAAACUCCAUAAAGACAGAAUGUGUUUCAUUUUUAUAUAAUUAAACACCCUCCCUGCAAUUUACAAACAAAUGAUAUGUCAUUUAAGUUUCAUAAAUGGGAAAAAGAUUAAUCACAGACAGUUUAUUUCUUUAAAAAAUAACACAAAUUUCUUAUUUCUGUAUUUGUCAUAAGUUCAACCUUUUUGCAUUAUCUUGAUCAGUGUAAAAUGCUUGGAUGGUCAGUGUUGUUUGACUUGUGUCUGUAUUUGGUUAGGAUCCAUUUAAACUCUCUAGGAUAAUGUCAAAAUCAAUUUCUUCCUUUAUACUUUCUUAUUUUCAAAGAAAUGGUGCUAAAUAUUUCUAUGAAUAUAUGGAAAUAUCUAUGCGAAUAUGUAUCUGACUAAAAAUGUUGCGGGCAUCUUUUCUGUUUUUUUAACCCUUUGUAAUAUUUUUAUUUUGUUUAUUUAGUGAUAUAAGGGAAAAUUGUGAGCAUUUAACUACAUAAUCUUUAUGUUUCCACCAAACUCAAUUUUUUAGUUCUUAGUAUAUGGCCUAUAAUCUAACUUUAAUUUAUCCCUUUUAUAUUAGCUUAUUUUCUUGUUAACAACAAGGAUAUCUCUUCUGGAGUAUCUCAAGUCAAGGUAGAAAAAGUAGUCAACAGGAAAAUGAACAGAACAGUUUUGGAUAUGUAUGAGAAUUUAAAGCAAAUGUUUCUAAAUGAGAAAUUGUAACUCAGGAAAUAUUUGGCACAUUCUAUCAAAAUUUUGUGAAUUUUGAUAAUAAAACAUUCACAAUUCAAUUAGGAGUAAAGGAAGAAAAUAUAAGCUAUAUCUAUCAAUAAAAGAUUUUUUUCCA